rnacentral:misc_RNA from 1 species
CGAGCGUCAUUUCAACCCUCAAGCUUAGCUUGGUCUUGGGCCGUGCCGGCAACGGCUGGCCUUAAAAUUAGUGGCGGUGCCUAUUGAGCUCUACGCGUAGUAAUAAACCCCUCGCUUCUGAGUCUCGGUGGACGCUUGCCAGCAACCCCCAAUUUUUUCUGGUUGACCUCGGAUCAGGUAGGGAUACCCGCUGAACUUAA